AUGUCAAGGGACAGGGCACCAGGACCUGACGAGUUCAACGGAGCGUUCUAUAGAUCUUGCUGGGCAAUUAUCAAGGCAGAUGUUAUUCUUGCUCUCAACCAGUUCUACUGUUGCUCUGGCCAAAACUUCAGUGAGCUCAACUCUGCUCACGUGGCUCUGCUGCCCAAAAAGGAUGGGACUAUUAAGAUGGCUGAUUACCACCCCAUCAGUCUCAUUCAUUCCAUGGCAAAGCUCAUUGCAAAAGUGAUGUCCAUCCGCCUGUCAAAGAUCAUUCAUCUAAUUAUCUCACCUGCCCAAACAGCCUUCAUGAAGACCAAAUGCAUACAUGACAGCUUCAUGUAUGUUCAGAACGGAGUCCGGUCGCUGCACAGGAAAAGCACGCCGGUAGUGCUGCUGAAACUUGACAUCACCAUGGCUUUUGACAGUAUAUCUUGGUCCUAUCUGCUUGAGCUCAUGCAACGGUUGGGCUUCAGUUCUAGAUGGCGGGACUAGGUGGCGAUGCUGCUCUCAACCUCGCACUCAUCCUUCCUGCUCAACGGCUUGCCCGGGCAGCCGGUCUGGCAUAGAAAGGAGCUAAGGCAGGGCGACCCCCUUUCUCCGCUGCUGUUCAUCAUCGCCAUUGACCCCUUGCACCGGCUGUUGCAAGCUGCUGGUGACUUAGGACUGCUCCAACCUUUGCUGGGUAGGGAAAUCAAACUGAGGGUCAACCUAUAUGCGGAUGAUGCGAUCAUAUUCGCUAACCCGAUCAAGGAUGAGAUUGAAACACUCAUGCAAAUCGUGCACUGCUUUGGGGAAGCCUCUGGCCUGAAAAUCAACCUUCAGAAGUCCACGGCCACGCCGAUCAGAUGCUCGGACAUCGAUAUGGAGCAGGUUCUGCAGAGUUUCGGCGGACAGCUCGUGCACUUCCCCCUCACAUACGUGGGGCUGCCAAUCACCAUCAAAUUCCUUAGGUUUGUGCACCUGCAGUUUGUUUUGGACAGGAUCCGGGCCCGUCUCGCCGGGUGGAAAGGAAAGCUACUAUCUAUUGCUGCCUGGAGGGUGCUCGUCAGGGCUGCCCUAAGCUCGCUGGCAACUUUUGCAAUCACAGCGCUGCGGGUACCCGAAAAAUUCCUCAAGGAAGUGGACAAAUGUCGCCAUAAAUUCCUCUAG
rnacentral:rRNA from 1 species